GAUGAACGCUGGCGGCGUGCUUAACACAUGCAAGUCGAACGAAGCACUUUAUUUGGUUUCCUUCGGGACUGAUUAUUUUGUGACUGAGUGGCGGACGGGUGAGUAACGCGUGGGUAACCUGCCUUGUACAGGGGGAUAACAGUUGGAAACGGCUGCUAAUACCGCAUAAGCGCACAGCAUCGCAUGAUGCAGUGUGAAAAACUCCGGUGGUAUAAGAUGGACCCGCGUUGGAUUAGCUAGUUGGUGAGGUAACGGCCCACCAAGGCGACGAUCCAUAGCCGACCUGAGAGGGUGACCGGCCACAUUGGGACUGAGACACGGCCCAAACUCCUACGGGAGGCAGCAGUGGGGAAUAUUGCACAAUGGGCGAAAGCCUGAUGCAGCGACGCCGCGUGAGCGAAGAAGUAUUUCGGUAUGUAAAGCUCUAUCAGCAGGGAAGAUAAUGACGGUACCUGACUAAGAAGCACCGGCUAAAUACGUGCCAGCAGCCGCGGUAAUACGUAUGGUGCAAGCGUUAUCCGGAUUUACUGGGUGUAAAGGGAGCGCAGGCGGUGCGGCAAGUCUGAUGUGAAAGCCCGGGGCUCAACCCCGGUACUGCAUUGGAAACUGUCGUACUAGAGUGUCGGAGGGGUAAGCGGAAUUCCUAGUGUAGCGGUGAAAUGCGUAGAUAUUAGGAGGAACACCAGUGGCGAAGGCGGCUUACUGGACGAUAACUGACGCUGAGGCUCGAAAGCGUGGGGAGCAAACAGGAUUAGAUACCCUGGUAGUCCACGCCGUAAACGAUGAAUAAUUGGGGGUGGGGAAGCCAUUGCUUCUCGGUGCCGUCGCAAACGCAGUAAGUAUUCCCCCUGGGGAGGACGUUCGCAAGAAUGAAACUCAAAGGAAAAGACGGGGGGCCGCACAAGCGGUGGAGCACGUGGUUUAAUUCGAAGCAACGCGAAGAACCUUACCAAGUCUUGACAUCCUUCUGACCGGUACUUAACCGUACUUUCUUUUUUGAGCAGGAGUGACAGGUGGUGCAUGGUUGUCGUCAGCUCGUGUCGUGAGAUGUUGGGUUAAGUCCCGCAACGAGCGCAACCCUUAUCUUUAGUAGCCAGCGGUUCGGCCGGGCACUCUAGAGAGACUGCCAGGGAUAACCUGGAGGAAGGCGGGGAGGACGUCAAAUCAUCAUGCCCCUUAUGACUUGGGCUACACACGUGCUACAAUGGCGUAAACAAAGGGAAGCAAAGCUGUGAAGCCGAGCAAAUCUCAAAAAUAACGUCUCAGUUCGGAGUGUAGUCUGCAACCCGACUACACGAAGCUGGAAUCGCUAGUAAUCGCAGAUCAGAAUGCUGCGG
rnacentral:rRNA from 1 species